rnacentral:rRNA from 1 species
GCGUGACUGAUGAAGGUCUUCAGGAUCUGUAAAGCUCUGUUGUUAGGGAAGAACAAGUACCGUGCGAAUAGAGCGGUACCUUGCCGGUCCCUAACGAGAAGGCCCCGGUUACUUACGUGCCGCCGCCC